UACGUAGGGUGCGAGCGUUGUCCGGAAUUAUUGGGCGUAAAGGGCUCGUAGGCGGUCCGUCGCGUCGGGAGUGAAAACUCAGGGCUUAACCCUGAGCCUGCUUCCGAUACGGGCAGACUAGAGGUAUGCAGGGGAGAACGGAAUUCCUGGUGUAGCGGUGAAAUGCGCAGAUAUCAGGAGGAACACCGGUGGCGAAGGCGGUUCUCUGGGCAUUACCUGACGCUGAGGAGCGAAAGUGUGGGGAGCGAACAGG
rnacentral:rRNA from 1 species